UUUUUGUAAUUAAUAUAAAGUCUAAUCUGCCCCCUGAUAAAUUAUUAAAGGGCUGCAGUAUUUUGACUGUACAAAGGUAGCAUAAUCGUUUGUCUCUUAAUUGGUGACUUGUAUGAAAGAUUGGAUGAAAUAUAAACUGUCUCAUUAUAAUAAGUAAAAUUUAAUUUUUUAGUAAAAAAGCUAAAAUAAUUUUAAAAGACGAGAAGACCCUAUAGAGUUUAAUAAUUAUUUUUAUAUAAAAUAAAAUAUAAAAAUUUAAAUUUAAAUGAAAAUAAUUAUUUUGUUGGGGUGAUAGAAAAAUUAAAUUAACUUUUUUUAAUAGAUAUACAUUAAUAAGUGAUUAAAUGAUCCAUUAAUAAUGAUUAUAAGAAAAAAUUACCUUAGGGAUAACAGCGUAAUUUUUUUUUUUAGGCCAAAUAAGAAAAAGAGUUUGCGACCUCGAUGUUGGAUUAAGAUAAAAUUUAAAUGUAAAAGUUUAAAGUUUUGAUCUGUUCGAUCAUUAAAA
rnacentral:rRNA from 1 species